GGCCGAAAGGCGUAGUCGAUGGGAAACAGGUUAAUAUUCCUGUACUUGGUGUUACUGCGAAGGGGGGACGGAGAAGGCUAUGUUAGCCGGGCGACGGUUGUCCCGGUUUAAGCAUGUAGGCUGAUUGUCCAGGCAAAUCCGGAUAAUCAAGGCUGAGGUGUGAUGACGAGGCACUACGGUGCUGAAGUAACAAAUGCCCUGCUUCCAGGAAAAGCCUCUAAGCAUCAGGUAACAUCAAAUCGUACCCCAAACCGACACAGGUGGUCAGGUAGAGAAUACCAAGGCGCUUGAGAGAACUCGGGUGAAGGAACUAGGCAAAAUGGUGCCGUAACUUCGGGAGAAGGCACGCUGGUGUGUAGGUGAAGCCCCUGCGGGUGGAGCUGAGACCAGUCGAAGAUACCAGCUGGCUGCAACUGUUUAUUAAAAACACAGCACUGUGCAAACACGAAAGUGGACGUAUACGGUGUGACGCCUGCCCGGUGCCGGAAGGUUAAUUGAUGGGGUUAUCCGUAAGGAGAAGCUCUUGAUCGAAGCCCCGGUAAACGGCGGCCGUAACUAUCACGGUCCUAAGGUA
rnacentral:rRNA from 1 species